rnacentral:rRNA from 1 species
UACGGGGGGGGCAAGCGUUGUUCGGAAUUACUGGGCGUAAAGGGCUCGUAGGUGGCCAACUAAGUCAGACGUGAAAUCCCUCGGCUUAACCGGGGAACUGCGUCUGAUACUGGAUGGCUUGAAUCCGGGAGAGGGACGUGGAAUUCCAGGUGUAGCGGUGAAAUGCGUAGAUAUCUGGAGGAACACCGGUGGCGAAGGCGACGUCCUGGACCGGCAUUGACGCUGAGGCGCGAAAGCCAGGGGAGCAAACGGG